UACGAAGGGUGCAAGCGUUACUCGGAAUCACUAGGCGUAAAGCGCAGGUAGGCGGUUUGAUAAGUCUCUUGUGAAAGCUCCCGGCUUAACUGGGAGAGGUCAAGGGAAACUGUCAGGCUAGAGUGUGGCAGAGGAAACUGGAAUUCCCGGUGUAGCGGUGAAAUGCGUAGAUAUCGGGGAAGAUACCUAUGGCGAAAGCAGGUUCUGGGCCGUCACUGACGCUGAGCUGCGAAAGCUAGGGGAGCAAACAGGG
rnacentral:rRNA from 1 species